rnacentral:lncRNA from 1 species
AUUUUUCUGCUGUUUGUGGUGUCGGCUAUUUUUAUACAAUAUAAAAUGCUCAUACUGAUGUUAAUGCUAAUUCUGAUGCUAAUGUAAAUGAAGUUUCAAAUACUAAAAAGCUAAAUUUUAAAUAUUCAAAAGCUAACUCAAAAACAUUUACAAGCCAAAAUGAACUUCUGUCCAAACUGAAUACACAUACACAUAUAUUUUC